GGAAUCUUGCACAAUGGGCGAAAGCCUGAUGCAGCGACGCCGCGUGGGGGAUGAAGGUCUUAGGGUCGUAAACCCCUUUCAGCAGGGACGAAAAUGACGGUACCUGCAGAAGAAGCCCCGGCCAACUACGUGCCAGCAGCCGCGGUAAGACGUAGGGGGCGAGCGUUGUCCGGAUUUAUUGGGCGUAAAGAGCUCGUAGGCGGUUGCGUAAGUCGGAUGUGAAAACUCAGGGCUCAACCCUGAGACGCCAUCCGAUACUGCGCUGACUUGAAUCCAGUAGGGGAGUGUGGAAUUCCUGGUGUAGCGGUGAAAUGCGCAGAUAUCAGGAGGAACACCCAUGGCGAAGGCAGCACUCUGGGCUGGUAUUGACGCUGAGGAGCGAAAGCCAGGGGAGCAAACGGGAUUAGAUACCCAGGUAGUCCCUGAGCGGGCUGGCAAGGCGCAU
rnacentral:rRNA from 1 species